rfam:Morganella morganii subsp. morganii KT, complete genome.
ACAAAUCUCUAUCGUUUCUUACGGUAAAGAGAAGCCGGCAGUUCUGGGUCACACCGAAGCUGACUAUGCUAAAAACCGUCGUGCUGUAAUCGUAUACUAAGAGAUAUACAUGAAAAGUAACUUCAGACGCCUGAUGG